CAAAUGACCAACAAAAUCCAUCCAACACUCCCUCAACCCCACGCCUCUGAUUCUCACACCUUCCCUGUUCUCUCUCUCUCUUCGCGUCUCUGCAACCUCUCCACUGAUCACAACCCCAUCAAUGGAAACCUCUUCAAUUCACCAACAAAACCCAUCUCCGCCGCUUCCAAAACCCAUCACUCGAUCCGAAUCUGUAAACCCAUAUCCCACUACCUUCGUCCAAGCCGAUUCCUCCUCUUUCAAACAAGUAGUUCAAAUGCUCACCGGAUCUCCUCAAACUGCUAAGCAAGCUUCUGUUAAGCCGGUUUCCGGUGGUUCCAACGCUGAUUCUGUGUCUAAAACGCACAUUCCGCCUAUUAAAUCGUUGCCCAAAAGGCAGCAAUCUGGGUUUAAGCUCUAUGAGCGGAGGAACUCCUUGAAUAAACUUAAAAUUAACCCGUCGAUUCCGGGGUUUGGUUCGAGUUGUAACUCUGGGUUUUCUCCGAGAAACCCUGAGAUUCUUUCUCCUAGCAUUUUGGAUUUUCCGGCGCUUGCUCUUAGUCCGGUCACGCCGCUUAUUCCUGACCCGUUUGAUCGAUCUGGGUUGGCGAAUGCGAAAUCGGAAGCUGAGGCGGAAGAUAAAGCGAUUAAAGAAAAGGGGUUUUACUUACAUCCAUCACCGACCACUACUCCUCGAGAAUCUGAGCCUCGGCUGUUGCCUCUGUUCCCAUUGACAUCGCCUAGAGUUCCAGGCAAUUAGUGUUAGUAGAGGUGAAUAAAGAAAAAGGAAGGUCUUGUGCGUGUGGAAUCUUGACAUUUUGUUACCUUUUGUGUUGUAUCUGGAUAAAAAAUUCACCCUCGAAUGUCGGGAGAGAGUUCUACGUCGGCUAAUUAAGGAGAUGAUCAUGAGUUUAUAAGUAAGGGAUAUAUCUCCAUUGGUACAAGGCCUUUUGGAGUAACCAAAAGCAAAGUCACAAGAGCUCAAGUGGAUAAUAUCA